AUUGAACGCUGGCGGCAGGCCUAACACAUGCCAGUCGAACGGUAACAGGAAGAAGCUUGCUUCUUUGCUGACGAGUGGCGGACGGGUGAGUAAUGUCUGGGAAACUGCCUGAUGGAGGGGGAUAACUACUGGAAACGGUAGCUAAUACCGCAUAACUUCGCAAGAACAAAGAGGGGGACCUUCGGGCCUCUUGCCAUCGGAUGUGCCCCGAUUGGAUUGGCUAGUAGGUGGGGUAACGGCUCACCUUGGCGACGAUCCCUAGAUGGUGUGAGAGGAUGACCAGACACACUGUAACUGAGACACGUUCCACACUCCUACGGGAAGCAGCAGUGGGGAAUAUUGCACACUGGGCCCAAGCCUGAUGUUGCCAUGCCGCGUGUAUGAAGAAGGCCUUCGGGUUCUAAAGUGCUUUCAGCGAGGAGGAAGGGAGUAAAGUUCAUCCCUUUACUCAUUGACGUUACCCGCAGAAGAAGCACCGGCUAACUCCGUG
rnacentral:rRNA from 1 species